rnacentral:ncRNA from 2 species
UUUGGGGUAGGAACUCGCGCGUUAAGUGCCAGCGGAACGGAAUGUGAACGCUGGACGAAAAGCACAGCUUGCGAUGCUUGUUCCGCAUUCGCCACU